rnacentral:misc_RNA from 1 species
UCAAACUUGGUCAUUUAGAGGAAGUAAAAGUCGUAACAAGGUCUCCGUAGGUGAACCUGCGGAGGGAUCAUUAUUGGAUUUUCCCAAAGAAAAAUGUUGUGCUGGUCUUUUGAAAGGGGGGCCAGCACAACAUUUUUCUCAAACAAACGAUCACAACUAACCUAACUGUGAAAAGAAAACUGAUUUGGAUGGAAACAAGUGUUUGCCUGAUAAUCAAGAUGAUUUGGAUUGGAGAAAGAAAUACAACUUUCAACAACGGAUCUCUUGGCUCUCACAUCGAUGAAGAACGCAGC